UACGAAGGUGGCAAGCGUUGUUCGGAUUUACUGGGCGUACAGGGAGCGUAGGCGGUUGGAUAAGCCCUCCGUGAAAUCUCCAGGCUUAACCUGGAAAGUGCAGAGGGGACUGUUCAGCUAGAGGAUGGGAGAGGAGCGCGGAAUUCCCGGUGUAGCGGUGAAAUGCGUAGAGAUCGGGAGGAAGGCCGGUGGCGAAGGCGGCGCUCUGGAAGUCGUUACUGACGCUGAGGUGAAC
rnacentral:rRNA from 1 species